UACGUAGGGUGCGAGCGUUAAUCGGAAUUACUGGGCGUAAAGCGUGCGCAGGCGGUUUUUGUAAGUCUGUCGUGAAAAUCCCCCGGGCUCAACCUGGGAAUUGCGAUGGAGACUGCAAGGCUUGAAUCUGGCAGAGGGGGGGUAGAAUUCCACGUGUAGCAGUGAAAUGCGUAGAGAUGUGGAGGAACACCGAUGGCGAAGGCAGCCCCCCUGGGUCAAGAUUGACGCUCAUGCACGGAAGCGUGGGGAGCAAACAGG
rnacentral:rRNA from 1 species